CCUACGGGCGGCAGCAGUGGGGAAUAUUGCACAAUGGGGGAAACCCUGAUGCAGCGACGCCGCGUGAGUGAAGAAGUAUUUCGGUAUGUAAAGCUCUAUCAGCAGGGAAGAAAAUGACGGUACCUGAUUAAGAAGCCCCGGCUAACUACGUGCCAGAAGCCGCGGUAAUACGUAGGGGGCAAGUGUGAUCCGGAUUUACUGGGUGUAAAGGGAGCGUAGACGGCAGCACAAGUCUGGAGUGAAAUGCCGGGGCUUAACCCCGGAACUGCUUUGGAAACUGUGCAGCUAGAGUGCAGUAGAGGGAAGUGGAAUUCCUAGUGUAGCGGUGAAAUGCGUAGAGAUUAGGAGGAAUACUAGUGGCGAAGGCGGCCUACUGGACUGUAACUGACGUUCAGGUUCGAAAGCGUGGGGAGCAAACAGGAUUAGAUACCCUUGUAGUC
rnacentral:rRNA from 1 species